UAAUACGGGGGGUGCAAGCGUUAAUCGGAAUUAUUGGGCGUAAAGGGUGCGUAGGUGGUUUAAUAAGUUAGCUGUGAAAUACCUGGGCUCAACUUGGGGAGGUCAGCUAAUACUAUUAGACUAGAGUAUGGGAGAGGGCAGAGGAAUUUCCGGUGUAGCGGUGAAAUGCGUAGAGAUCGGAAGGAACACCGGUGGCGAAGGCGACUGCCUGGCCUAAUACUGACACUGAGGCACGAAAGCGUGGGGAGCAAACAGG
rnacentral:rRNA from 1 species